rnacentral:snRNA from 1 species
UUAAGAAAAUUAAAUAACAUAUGUUAUAUAUAUGAGUUAUGUUCAAAUGAGAACCAUUAGACAGAUAUAUUAUAAAAUAAUUUAAUAUGAAUAUAUUAUAGUGUAUAAAUAAUAUAUAUAUGUGUGUGUGUGUGGGUUCGGGUUUUUUUUCGGAUUUCGGGUUCAGAUCGGGUUUGGUUCUGAUUUCGGAUUCCGGAUCGGGUUUCGGAUCGGUAAAGGUCAUAUCCAAAUCAAAAUCCAAAAAAAUCGGGUACAAAAAUCAAAUCCAAAUCCAAAAAAUCGGGUUCGGUAUAUUCAAA